AGCUCCUUUUGCUCCUCCUGACCCCGAGCAUCCCCUGCAGACCCCCGGAGGGGCAGUUUGGAGGCUGUGACCCAUCCGACCUCCCCCCUCAGCUUCACCCCUUCCCCCCAUCCCCGUCCCCCCGGGAUCGUUUCCACCCUCCUCAUGCCAAGGGCAGUUUCCUGCAGCUGCUGACAGGAGCAAGGCAGGGAGGCUGUGCAAGGGAAUAUUCCACAGCCCCAGCAUUUCAGGAGUGUUGCAGCCACGGGACAGGGAGAGAAGCUGUUUUGAUUUUUUAGCACAAAGACCCCAGACCAGCCUUUUCUUUCCCUCCGUGUGGGCUGAAGAAUCAGCAGAACAAGGUUUGAAAAGCCUGACACCGGCAGGAAGCUGUUCCCUUCCAAGGCAUCCCUCUCCCGAAUAACCCACUGACCUCCAGCCAGGAGCUCCCUCCUUCCCGCCGGGAUCGCUCGGGAAGAGCAGAGGUACUCACAGCUCCGGGGAAACCGAGUCCGGGCGGAGCAUGGCCAGGAACCCGCCGCGACUUCACCCCAAAAAUGCCCGGUGCCCUCCGAGCAUCCCCUUCCAAGCGCCUCCAGGGAUGCGAGCGGCGCCGGGAGCAGCCGGGGCUGGGAAUGCUGCGUGGGAGGGGGGGAAAAAAAUCACCAUAAAUCCAGCGGCGCUGCUGUUCCCCCUCUGGAAGAUGUAGGACGGUCACGGAGGAGGGUGUUUCCCCAUCUGCUCUCCUCCUCGGAGCAGCAGCCGCGGGUGCGUGCGGGCUCCCAGCAUCACCACUCCAUACUUAAGCCUUUUAUGGCUUUUAAGGCACAGGAUGUUCUGGAACGGCCGCUCUCCCCCCCCCUCUCGCCCGCCCUCCCUCCCGGCAGCGCAAACAAAACUCCUGGGAAAGGGAGAGUAGGAGCUGGAAAGCUGGAGCUGCCUCCCCUGUGUCGGGAAGGGAUGGGGGUCUGUCCAGGCUGGCUGCCAGAGGAUGGACCCCAGGCUCGGGGAGGGAAGAGCCCAUCCCGUGGAUGUACCACCCCAUUGUGGCCCCACAAGGGCCCCAAACCAAGCCCCAAAUCUCUGCUCCCUGCAGCCCCAAAUCCCUCUCCCUGCAGCCCCAAAUCCCUGUUCCCUGCACCCCAAAUCCCUCUCCCUGCACCCCAAAUCCCUCUCCCUGCAGCCCCAAAUCCUUGCUCCUGCAGCCCCAAAUCCCUGCUCCCUGCAGCCCCAAAUCCCUCUCCCUGCAGCCCCAAAUCCCUCUCCCUGCACCCCAAAUCCCUGUUCCCUGCACCCCAAAUCCCUGCACCCCAAAUCCCUCUCCCUGCACCCCAAAUCCCCCUCCCUGCAGUCCCAGCCGUCCCACGGGGAGCUGGCAGGGUGCAGAGGCCCCUCUGGGUGGGAUGGAGGACCCUUCCCAGCCUGCCAGUCCUCCCAGGCUUUCACUUCCCUGACCUGCUUCUCCAAAAACCUGUUAAAAGCGUGUUCCUCUCCCCAAAGUGUCGCAGAAUAAAUUUGCAGAAAAGUCA